AGUGAAUAGAUACCCCGGUAGUCCCAGCCGUAAACGAUGCUCGCUAGGUGUCAGGCAUGGCGCGACCGUGUCUGGUGCCGCAGGGAAGCCGUGAAGCGAGCCACCUGGGAAGUACGGCCGCAAGGCUGAAACUUAAAGGAAUUGGCGGGGGAGCACAACAACGGGUGGAGCCUGCGGUUUAAUUGGACUCAACGCCGGACAACUCACCGGGGGCGACAGCAAUAUGUAGGCCAAGCUGAAGACUUUGCCUGAAUCGCUGAGAGGAGGUGCAUGGCCGUCGCCAGUUCGUACUGUGAAGCAUCCUGUUAAGUCAGGCAACGAGCGAGACCCGUGCCCACUGUUACCAGCAUGUCCU
rnacentral:rRNA from 1 species